rnacentral:rRNA from 1 species
AGGNGGGACCACNGACGAGCAAUGCCGCGUGAGCGAAGAAGGUCUUCGGAUUGUAAAGCUCUGUUGCCGGGGAAAAAAGGAAGGAAAGAGGAAAUGCUUUUUCUUUGGAUGGUACCCGGCCAGAAAGUCACGGCUAACUACGUGCC